AUCGAGAGGUGGGCUGGACGUAUCACAAGUGCGAAUGCUGACAUAAGUAACGAUAAAACGGGUGAAAAACCCGUUCGCCGGAAGACCAAGGGUUCCUGUCCAACGUUAAUCGGGGCAGGGUGAGUCGGCUCCUAAGGCGAGGCUGAAAAGCGUAGUCGAUGGGAAACAGGUUAAUAUUCCUGUACUUGGUAAAGCUGCGAUGUGGGGACGGAGUAGGUUAGGUUAUCGCACUGUUGGAUAUGUGCGUUUAAGUUGGUAGGUGGGAAGUUUAGGCAAAUCCGGGCUUCCUUAACACAGAGAGAUGAUGACGAGGCUCUACGGAGCUGAAGUAACUGAUACCACACUUCCAGGAAAAGCCACUAAGCGAAAGGCUUUACUAAACCGUACUGAAAACCGACACAGGUGGUCAGGUAGAGAAUACUCAGGCGCUUGAGAGAACUCGGGUGAAGGAACUAGGCAAAAUAGCACCGUAACUUCGGGAGAAGGUGCGCCGGCGUAGAUUGUAAGGGCUAGCCCCUGAAGGUUGAACCGGUCGAAGAUACCAGCUGGCUGCAACUGUUUAUUAAAAACACAGCACUCUGCAAACACGAAAGUGGACGUAUAGGGUGUGAUGCCUGCCCGGUGCUGGAAGGUUAAUUGAUGGUGUAAUCGCAAGAGAAGCACCUGAUCGAAGCCCCAGUAAACGGCGGCCGUAACUAUAACGGUCCUAAGGUAGCGAAAUUCCUUGUCGGGUAAGUUCCGACCUGCACGAAUGGCAUAAUGAUGGCCAGGCUGUCUCCACCCGAGACUCAGUGAAAUUGAAAUCGCCGUGAAGAUGCGGUGUACCCGCGGCUAGACGGAAAGACCCCGUGAACCUUUACUAUAGCUUGACACUGAACAUUGAAUUUUGAUGUGUAGGAUAGGUGGGAGACUUAGAAGUAGUCACGCCAGUGAUUAUGGAGUCGACCUUGAAAUACCACCCUUUAACGUUUGAUGUUCUAACGAAGAUGACGAAACGUGGUCUCGGACAGUGUCUGGUGGGUAGUUUGACUGGGGCGGUCUCCUCCCAAAGCGUAACGGAGGAGCACGAAGGUUUGCUAAUCACGGUCGGACAUCGUGAGGUUAGUGCAAUGGUAUAAGCAAGCUUAACUGCGAGACAGACAAGUCGAGCAGGUACGAAAGUAGGUCAUAGUGAUCCGGUGGUUCUGAAUGGAAGGGCCAUCGCUCAACGGAUAAAAGGUACUCCGGGGAUAACAGGCUGAUACCGCCCAAGAGUUCAUAUCGACGGCGGUGUUUGGCACCUCGAUGUCGGCUCAUCACAUCCUGGGGCUGAAGUAGGUCCCAAGGGUAUGGCUGUUCGCCAUUUAAAGUGGUACGCGAGCUGGGUUUAGAACGUCGUGAGACAGUUCGGUCCCUAUCUGCCGUGGGCGU
rnacentral:rRNA from 1 species